rnacentral:tRNA from 1 species
CAAGAUGGUUGAAAUAAUAAACGAUAAACUGUAAAUUUAUUUAUGAGUUAAUCCUCUCUUGUA